CGGGGGGGCAAGCGUUGUUCGGAAUUACUGGGGCGUUAAAGGGCCAGUAGGCGGCCAAACUAGGUCGGAUGUGAAAUCCCCCAGGCUCAACCUGGGAACUGCAUCCGAUACUGGAUGGCUUGAAUUCGGGAGAGGGAUGCAGAAUUCCAGGUGUAGCGGUGAAAUGCGUAGAUAUCUGGAGGAAUACCGGUGGCGAAGGCGGCAUCCUGGACCGACAUUGACGCUGAACGGCGAAAGCUAGGGGAGCAAACGGGAUUAGAUACCCCGGUAGUCCUAGCCCUAAACGAUGAAUGCUUGGUGUAACGGGUAUCGAUCCCUGUUGUGCCGAAGCUAACGCAUUAAGCAUUCCGCCUGGGGAGUACGGUCGCAAGGCUG
rnacentral:rRNA from 1 species